rnacentral:rRNA from 1 species
GGAAUUUUCCGCAAUGGGCGAAAGCCUGACGCAGCGACGCCGCGUGGAGGAUGAAGGCCUUCGGGUUGUAAACUCCUGUCAGAGGUGUAGAAAACGCCUGACGGUAACCUCAGAGGAAGCCCCGGCUAACUACGUGCCAGCAGCCGCGGUAAUACGUAGGGGGCAAACGUUGCUCGGAAUUACUGGGCGUGAAGGGUGUGUAGGUGGCUGAGCAAGUCAAGGAUGAAAUCCCGGGGCUCAACUCCGGAACUGUCCUUGAAACUGUUCAGCUUGAGGGUGGUUGAGGAAGACGGAAUUCCCGGUGGAGCGGUGAGAUGCGUAGAUAUCGGGAGGAACACCAAUAUGGCGAAGGCACUGUACUGGGCUUUUCCUGACGCUAAGAGAUGAAAGCUGAAGGAGUGAUUAGGAUUAGAUACCCCUGUAGUC